GAAGGUCGCGGAGAAAAAGAAACUACCAAAAACAAUUAUUUGAUGAUUUAUUCCGAUUGUAUAAAGAAUGACAGUUAGCGAAUCUCAAGAUCAAACACUGAGGAUUGUUUGGCUUGAUGCAAUGACCUUAAACAGUGAAAUGAUUUUCCAGGAGGGUCUAUACACAACAAGCUGGAUUUUAUGGAGUGAUGAAAGAACUAUGAAUAUGUAAAUGGGAAUGAAACAGAAGGAAUUGAUAUGUUCUACUGAUCAUCCAGCUGAAAUCAUGCCUGUGAAAUAGAGUGCAUGUCACAAAUACUAAUAUAAGCAAAUAACUCCAUAUUGCACAAAUAAUGUCAUGUUUCCUGCCCUCAUGACCUGAAAAAGUUAAAAAUUCUAGUUCAAAUUACCAAUGUGUUUCAAGAAAAAGUAAAACUUAGUCAACUGUGAGAAAUAUUGGGUAAAAGUAGUGUUUUGAUGUCAGGACAGCUGUGAAGUUUUAUGAGAAGCACUACCCUAAUACAGAAUUUAACUUAUAAUUUUUUCAAAACUGCAUGCAUGAAAUGCUAAGACAUGUCUGUUGAAUGAAUCCUAGUUGUUUCAAAACUACAACAUGGGUGACAUUAAAGCACAACCUUUGGAGGAAACAUUUUUACAAUCAAAACUGCCUUGCCAGUGUGAGUGUAGGAAGGAUUUUUCCAGAAAUGGCAGAAAACUACCAAUAUAGCAGAAAAUAUUUGUUACUGGCUGAAUAUAAUAUAUCUCAUUUCAAGAAUUAAUCAUGUUAAUCCAUGGUUAUAGUUGUGUUGAAAGACAUUUUUACAUGACAUGACCUUUGCAGAAAUAGCUAAUUGUUUUGCAAAACAUUGUGAGUUGCCAUGGUAACACAAAUUUGACUUAAAUUUAGAUUUGUUUGAUUAUGUAAACAGCAUGUGUCUUGUUUAUAUUCUGCUAAUCAGACUAUGUUCUGCAAGAAAAUAUCUUUUAUGUGUAACCAUCAACAAAACAUGUUAUAACACAAAUCUGCCAUAAAAUGGCAGAGCUGUACUGCAGGUAGGCAUAUCAGGAAAAUAUGUAGUUCUG